rnacentral:rRNA from 1 species
UACGUAGGGCGCAAGCGUUGUCCGGAAUUAUUGGGCGUAAAGAGCUCGUAGGCGGCUUGUCACGUCGAUUGUGAAAGCCCGAGGCUUAACCUCGGGUCUGCAGUCGAUACGGGCUAGCUAGAGUGUGGUAGGGGAGAUCGGAAUUCCUGGUGUAGCGGUGAAAUGCGCAGAUAUCAAGGAGGAACACCGGUGGCGAAGGCGGAUCUCUGGGCCAUUACUGACGCUGAGGAGCGAAAGCGUGGGGAGCGAACAGG